GGCUAGAUAGCUCAGUUGGUAUAGCGCUGGCAUUUUAAUCCGGAGGUUGCAGGUUCAAAUCCCGCUCUGGUCA